GCUGCGAUGGCCGUGUGGUUAAGGCGUUGGACUCGAAAUCCAAUGGGAUAUUCCCGCGCAGGUUCGAAUCCUGUUCGCAGCG
rfam:Ciona savignyi cont_8848, whole genome shotgun sequence.